rnacentral:rRNA from 1 species
UACGUAGGGUGCAAGCGUUGUCCGGAAUUAUUGGGCGUAAAGAGCUCGUAGGCGGUCUGUCACGUCGGCUGUGAAAACUCGGGGCUCAACCCCGAGCCUGCAGUCGAUACGGGCAGACUAGAGUCCGGCAGGGGAGACUGGAAUUCCUGGUGUAGCGGUGAAAUGCGUAGAUAUCAGGAGGAACACCGGUGGUGUAGACGGCUUUCUGGACCGUAACUGACGCUGAGACACGAAAGCGUGGGUAGCAAACAGG